rnacentral:lncRNA from 1 species
GGGACUGUGUUGCAGGUCAGUUUCUCAUUUUGCCCAAUCCUGCCUUAUUCUUUUUCCUUCCAUAGGUUGUAUCUCAAGAACAGUCCCUAGCAAACUUCCUGCACACUGAACUCCAUCUCAGAGUCUACUUCCUGGGCAACCUUGGAAGACAUAUGUAGAUGUCAGAGUCUCCAGCAACCUGAGUUACUGAAUUACUGGGCAUCAGAACCUCCAGCCUGGAAACCAAGAACACCUACAUUAGAUGAACAUACAAUUCCUCGUGGUAUAAAAUUGAGUUGCUGAUUUGCAACCUUUCUUCUAUUUGAAGGGAGAAGAAAUCAAGGCCUUAAAAAUACAAAUUAUGUUUCGCUUCUGGAGUAGAGAUUACAUCACUCUGCAUCUCACACAGUUUUCAUUAUUUU